CAAAAGCAAUCGCGGUUUUUGC
rnacentral:miRNA from 1 species